AAGUGGAUUCUUCCCUUCCCGAUGUUGACGUCAGCAUUGGGCCAUCAUUGAUCAGCACUCUGCAGGAGCACGUCAGCACCGGGAGAGAGCAACGAGCGGGGCCUCCAUUCAUCGCUGUCAAAAACUCCAGCUGAGGACCCGUCACCACAGCGCAGAGGACGACACCGAGCAGCCGCACGUCCGUCGACAUCACAUCACUUGAGCCUGAAACAUUUCACUUUGUUUCCAAUUCUCAUUUUUUAUUUCUCUCUCCCCUGCAUGACGACGGCGCCCACAAACCAGACUCCCACCCGCUGCCCGGCCGGCGUGGCGCGACAGAAGCGGCAGCUGUGCACUUCUUGCCAGCGACGGUCACCAAAGUCAGCAGAAGCAUGGCUGCCAGCAGUGUCAUCGAUUUCCGCCGAGGCGCUGAGGAACUUCUGUUCAACUGUAUGCCGUGUUGUUCAGAGUUGAGGGAGAUGCCGAGUGAACGUUCUGCAGAAAAACCUCCUGGAUUGUUUUCCCGUCAAAGCCGAGUUAUUUAGUCAAGGCUCUUCAUCUCGGAAUCAAGAUCCAUGGCAACAACCACAAUGGUGCGUGCCACCGCAAUCCCCCUCGGCAGAAUUCAGCAUCAGAACGGUGUCUGAGGGCGCGGGCGGACGCUUCCCUGCGUCUUGUCGUGACACUGGAUCUAAAGGGUGACACGACGUGGAAGGCCUGGUGGGUGAGCACAAGCAAAGAGCCAGUGCAGGUCUUUCAGGAGGCUAUCGUCUCACAUUCCUCCAGGAAGGAUGACGCCUCCUUUCCCUGCCUGAACCUCAACACUGUUGAGGAGGAGGAACAUGAAACAUCCUGAAAGGCUUGGGUGUGACUGACACCCCUCCCCCUCUUUGUCUUCCCCACUCCAAUUAGUUGGGUGACAGAUCACCCUCUCCUCUCUCGGUGUCGCUGCAGCAGGCGUACAGUCGGGGGUGACGCGGGGAGAAGACGAGGGAGCAUGUCACCGGGAACCGUGAGGCUUCCUUCCUCUCCCGCCCAGACACGCCGAGCGAAAUCAC